rnacentral:rRNA from 1 species
GACGUAGGGCGCGAGCGUUGUCCGGAUUUAUUGGGCGUAAAGAGCUCGUAGGCGGCUUGUCGCGUCGACUGUGAAAUCCCGUGGCUCAACUGCGGGCUUGCAGCCGAUACGGGCAGGCUAGAGUUCGGUAGGGGAGACUGGAAUUCCUGGUGUAGCGGUGAAAUGCGCAGAUAUCAGGAGGAACACCCGGUGGCGAAGGCGGGGUCUCUGGGCCCGAU